UACGUAGGGGGCGAGCGUUGUCCGAAGUUACUGGGCGUAAAGAGCUCGUAGGCGGUCUGUCGCGUCGGCUGUGAAAUCCCGAGGCUCAACCUCGGGUCUGCAGUCGAUACGGGCAAACUGGAGUGUUGCAGGGGAGACUGGAAUUCCUGGUGUAGCGGUGAAAUGCGCAGAUAUCAGGAGGAACACCGGUGGCGAAGGCGGGUCUCUGGGCAACAACUGACGCUGAGGAGCGAAAGCGUGGGGAGCGAACAGG
rnacentral:rRNA from 1 species